CAGUCGCCGGGAAUACGUAGGGCGCAAGCGUUGUCCGGAAUUAUUGGGCGUAAAGAGCUCGUAGGCGGUCUGUCGCGUCUGGUGUGAAAUCCCGAGGCUCAACCUCGGGCUUGCAUCGGGUACGGGCAGACUAGAGUGCGGUAGGGGAGACUGGAAUUCCUGGUGUAGCGGUGGAAUGCGCAGAUAUCAGGAGGAACACCGAUGGCGAAGGCAGGUCUCUGGGCCGCAACUGACGCUGAGGAGCGAAAGCAUGGGGAGCGAACAGGAUUAGAUACCCGAGUAGUCCCUGUCUCUUAUACAC
rnacentral:rRNA from 1 species